rnacentral:rRNA from 1 species
GACGAACGCUGGCGGCGUGCUUAACACAUGCAAGUCGAACGGAAAGGCCCUGCUUUUGUGGGGUGCUCGAGUGGCGAACGGGUGAGUAACACGUGAGUAACCUGCCCUUGACUUUGGGAUAACUUCAGGAAACUGGGGCUAAUACCGGAUAGGAGCUCCUGCUGCAUGGUGGGGGUUGGAAAGUUUCGGUGGUUGGGGAUGGACUCGCGGCGUAUCAGCUUGUUGGUGGGGUAGUGGCUUACCAAGGCUUUGACGGGUAGCCGGCCUGAGAGGGUGACCGGCCACAUUGGGACUGAGAUACGGCCCAGACUCCUACGGGAGGGAGCAGUGGGGAAUAUUGCACAAUGGGCGGAAGCCUGAUGCAGCAACGCCGCGUGGGGGAUGACGGCCUUCGGGUUGUAAACCGCUUUCGCCUGUGACGAAGCGUGAGUGACGGUAAUGGGUAAAGAAGCACCGGCUAACUACGUG